rnacentral:lncRNA from 1 species
GUAAGGACAAGAAAGAUGCCUUUUAAGCGGUGUAAGAAAUGUUAUUGGGAGGGAUUCGAAUAGGAAAAUAUGGCAUGAUGGUUAUCCCUUUUAAAAAGGGCUUUCAAUGAGACUUUAGGAAAAAGAAGACACAAAAGUGAAAAAUAAGUGUCAACAAAAGCUGCCAAUGAUGUAAACCUCUUAUCUGGAAAACACUUAAGGAAAAUCGUCAUCCGCCAAAGCAUUUACGAUCCUAG